AAGGAAUUCCCUUAGUAACGGCGAGUGAACAGGGAAAAGCCCAGCACCGAAGCCUGUGGUCAUUUGAUCACUAGGCAAUGUGGUGUUCAGGUCGUUCCGUUGAGGUGCUGCUCCACCCUAAGUCCAGCAAUGAGUACGGUGGUACGGACAUGGCCCACAGAGGGUGAAAGGCCCGUGGGGGUGGAGAUCAGGCAGGCCAGUGCCUCUCUGGGUAGACCUUGGAGUCGGGUUGUUUGUGAAUGCAGCCCAAAGUGGGUGGUAAACUCCAUCCAAGGCUAAAUACUUGCACGAGUCCGAUAGCGAACAAGUACCGUGAGGGAAAGUUGAAAAGUACUUUGAAGAGAGAGUAAACAGUGCGUGAAACCGCUCAGAGGUAAGCGGGUGGAGUUGAACUGCAAGCUUUGAGAAUUCAGCUGGUGAGUAUGGUUUGAGCUUGGUCAAGUUUGGCUGGAUAUUGAGGUCUGCGUAGUGGCAGGUUCUAGUCCCUCGGGGCAGGAUGCGCGAUACACUUAUCAAGUGUUGUGCGCCUCAGUAUUAUUCGGGCCUACUCGCCAGUGCACUUUCUCAGAGUGUUCACCACGACCGGCACUGCUGUCUGGCUGUAGUGGUUAAACCGGGCUUACAUCGUCCUUGUGGCUUUGCAUGUUCGGGAAGGCAGGUGGCACGUUGGCUUGCUUGUAGUUUACUGCAGGCAUUUGGUCUUCGUGUGUAAUCAGCUGACCACAACAGUUCUGUGCAGUGUGUCGGGGCUAGCGGCUUGUGGUACUUGCGUGCGUGCUUGUUCUGCUGGCGAGUCCGGGUUUGGUUAUCAUGUUGCCUGCAAGUGCAGGCCUGGGAAUGGCUCGGAUUCGUCCAGUGGGCGGUUGCGUACGUGGUGCUGUUAGAUGGCCAAGAGUCUGUGGUGUAGUGGUAGACUAUCCACCCGACCCGUCUUGAAACACGGACCAAGGAGAGUAACAUGUGCGCGAGUCAUUGGGCGUAACGAAACCCACAGGCGCAGUGAAAGUAAAGGUCUGGCUUGUCUAGACUGAGGUGAGAUCCUGUCGUUUUCACGCCUGGUACCACCAAGCAUCGAGCGGCAGGCGCAUCACCGGCCCGUCCCAUGACGUAGACACAUAAUCUUCGGACCAGUGCACCGUCGGGGCGGAGCAUGAGCGUACAUGUUGAGACCCGAAAGAUGGUGAACUAUGCUUGCGCAGGUUGAAGCCAGAGGAAACUCUGGUGGAGGACCGCAGCGAUUCUGACGUGCAAAUCGAUCGUC
rnacentral:rRNA from 1 species